GGGGUUGUGGCUCAGUGGUAGAGUGCUUACCUCACAUGUGUGAGGCACUGAGUUCAAUUCUCAGCACCACA
rnacentral:tRNA from 1 species